AGCGAACGCUGGCGGCAGGCCUAAUACAUGCAAGUCGAGCGGGUCCUUCGGGAUUAGCGGCGGACGGGUGAGUAACGCGUGGGAACGUGCCCUUUGGUACGGAACAACUGAGGGAAACUUCAGCUAAUACCGUAUGUGCCCUACGGGGGGAAAGAUUUAUCGCCAUUGGAGCGGCCCGCGUUGGAUUAGGUAGUUGGUGAGGUAAAGGCUCACCAAGCCUACGAUCCAUAGCUGGUCUGAGAGGAUGACCAGCCACACUGGGACUGAGACACGGCCCAGACUCCUACGGGAGGCAGCAGUAGGGAAUCUUGCGCAAUGGGCGAAAGCCUGACGCAGCCAUGCCGCGUGAAUGAUGAAGGUCUUAGGGAUUGUAAAAUUCUUUCACCGGGGACGAUAAUGACGGUACCCGGAGAAGAAGUCCCGGCUAACUUCGUGCCAGCAGCCGCGGUAAU
rnacentral:rRNA from 1 species